CAAUAGCGUAUAUUAAAGUUGUUGCAGUUAAAAAGCUCGUAGUUGGAUUUCUGGACGGAGCAGCCGGUCCGCCGCUGUGCGGUGUGUACUCGUGCUUGACUCGGUUCAUCCUUGUGGGGAAGCGCAUUUCGGCAUUCAGUUGUCGAGGCGGGGAACCACAUCAUUUACUGUGAAAAAAUUAGAGUGUUUAAAGCAGGCAUUUUGCUGUGAAUACAUUAGCAUGGAAUAAUAACAUAGGACUUUGAUUCUAUUUUGUUGGUUGGAGAUCAAGGUAAUGAUUAAUAGGGAUAGUUGGGGGUAUUCAUAUUUAAUUGUCAGAGGUGAAAUUCUUGGAUUUAUGAAAGAUGAACUCAUGCGAAAGCAUUUACCAAGGAUGUUUNCAUUAA
rnacentral:rRNA from 1 species